UAGUCUUACUGUUACUACUGUUACAGUAGUAGUCCAACGCCCGGGCCCGGCGACGUUUUCUCCCGCCAAGGCGAUUUCACUUGGAUUCCGUUUUCAAGGGACUAGACUGACCACACAGUCUCGUGACAUAGGGCCUAGGGCGUGGGCCAUGGGGUCAAGCUGCAGGCGCUUCGUAGUGGGCUAGCGCGCAUGCUCGGGAAGAACGACCGUUAGUCGUCUUUGCAUGUUGAACAUGUUGCCCUUCGACGUUCUUUCGUUCGAGCUCCAAACGGCGACAGUUUACGGGUGUGUAGAAUGAAGCUGUGGUAACCUGGUCAUGAAUACCCCAUUGCCCGGGGCAUUGGCGGGUUCUUAGCAGAUACUACUUCUUCUUCUGAAAACGUGCUCUAUACUGUAGUUUGAAAAGAACAACGGACGGCGGCUAGGGGAAAGAGUCACCACAAAGUGCGCCACGCUGAAGACGUUUUACGAACCGACUUCUGGCGACACCUUGCAGUGUGGUGACUGUAGCGUUCACCGUCACUGUGACAUGGUCAACUAACGUGUUACUCAGUCUCCUCAUCUUGAUCUUUCGGCCUUUGACCUCGGGGAGAGCUCGUUUGGCAAGAUCAGCAGAUGUGCUCUCAAACUCAAAGCCGCACCAAACUUUUCACGCGUUUCGUUUCAUGCGUUGCGGGCCCGGAAUUCAGAGGGAUACAGCAACCAUCAUGAGCCACGAUGACCCGAGCAACCAUGCAACUCAAGUUAACCAUUAUGCAUGGUUUCCAAGUACAUGUAGAUCCAGGAGACUACGGAGUUU